AACGAACGCUGGCGGCAUGCCUAACACAUGCAAGUCGAACGAUGCUUUCGGGCAUAGUGGCGCACGGGUGCGUAACGCGUGGGAAUCUGCCCUUGGGUUCGGAAUAACAGUGAGAAAUUGCUGCUAAUACCGGAUGAUGUCUUCGGACCAAAGAUUUAUCGCCCAGGGAUGAGCCCGCGUAGGAUUAGCUAGUUGGUGGGGUAAUGGCCUACCAAGGCGACGAUCCUUAGCUGGUCUGAGAGGAUGAUCAGCCACACUGGGACUGAGACACGGCCCAGACUCCUACGGGAGGCAGCAGUGGGGAAUAUUGGACACUGGGCGCAAGCCUGAUCCAGCAAUGCCGCGUGAGUGAUGAAGGCCUUAGGGUUGUAAAGCUCUUUUACCCGGGAUGAUAAUGACAGUACCGGGAGAAUAAGCUCCGGCUAACUCCGUG
rnacentral:rRNA from 1 species